GACGAACGCUGGCGGCGUGCCUAAUACAUGCAAGUUGAGCGAUGAAGAUUGGUGCUUGCACCAAUUUGCAGAGCAGCGAACGGGUGAGUAACGCGUGGGGAAUCUGCCUUUGAGCGGGGGACAACAUUUGGAAACGAAUGCUAAUACCGCAUAACAACUUUAAACAUAAGUUUUAAGUUUGAAAGAUGCAAUUGCAUCACUCAAAGAUGAUCCCGCGUUGUAUUAGCUAGUUGGUGAGGUAAAGGCUCACCAAGGCGAUGAUACAUAGCCGACCUGAGAGGGUGAUCGGCCACAUUGGGACUGAGACACGGCCCAAACUCCUACGGGAGGCAGCAGUAGGGAAUCUUCGGCAAUGGACGAAAGUCUGGCCGAGCAACGCCGCGUGAGUGAAGAAGGGUUUCGGAUCGUAAAACUCUGUUGGUAGAGAAGAACGUUGGUGAGAGUGGAAAGCUCAUCAAGUGACGGUAACUACCCAGAAAGGGACGGCUAACUACGUG
rnacentral:rRNA from 1 species